CCCUGGUUAGCUCAGUUGGUAGAGCGCUCCACUGGAAAUGGAGAGGUCCCUGGUUCGAUACCCGGACCAGGCG
rfam:Ixodes scapularis strain Wikel colony gcontig_1108378304854, whole genome shotgun sequence.